rnacentral:rRNA from 1 species
UACAGAGGGUGCAAACGUUGCUCGGAAUUACUGGGCGUAAAGCGCGUGUAGGCGGUUCCGCAAGUCAGGUGGGAAAGCCCAGGGCUCAACCCUGGAAGUGCACUUGAUACUACGGAGCUUGAGUACUGAAGAGGAGAGCGGAAUUCCCGGUGUAGAGGUGAAAUUCGUAGAUAUCGGGAGGAACACCAGUGGCGAAGGCGGCUCUCUGGGCAGAUACUGACGCUGAGACGCGAAAGCAUGGGGAGCAAAUAGG